UCCUGCUUGGUGUGAAGACACCACAGGAAAUUGGGGAAGAGCGAGGGGAAGGAGCUGUAUCUUGUCCUCUCUGCAUCUGUGAUCCAAGGCUUUCUUGUGAAUUGG
rnacentral:lncRNA from 13 species